UGCGUUUAUUCAUCUCUUUCAAGUGAGUCUCCAAAAGACCAAAAUGGUGUUUUGAUUCAUUUGACCCAGAAGGAAUGGACCAGGAAGAAGGGUUACAAUGUCCACAGAGAGAGGGAGCAAGAGGGCAGAGAGAACUGUGUGGGAGGAAGUAUUUCUCUACGUUUUCAAACCAUAGGCGCUGGCAUAUGCUAGGCCAGCACUUUCACGCUGAGCUGUAGCAACAGCCCAGUUUCCCCCACCUUAAUUCCUGGCUUUUUUUUUUUUAACAAAACCAUUCCACUAGAGUCUUGAGUUCUUCACUGAAUAAAUAAACACUUGAUCAUCUUUGCCUAAAUGUU